GUUUGUGUGAUGAUCUAAUUGUCGGAUACCCCUUCACUCGGCUGAGUGAUCACUUCGAUCUGAUGAAC
rnacentral:snoRNA from 1 species